CUUUCUGUUAGUAAUGACACACUGGUUUCACCAGUCACGUUUGUCAUGAUAAUUUUAUAUUAAUGUGAAAAGUUGUCUUUGCAGUAGUCAUUUUCGGUUAAUGUAAUGUUAGUCAAGUCAAACCCAUCUAGAGAGAAGUUCAGUUGUCUGAAAAAGAAAUGUUGUGCAGAUAUGAACAGAGAUGUGAAAUGAUGGAUGGAGAGGUUGGCAACUAAUUUCAAAGAGAGUAUUUUAUUAGACAGAUGAGUGGGAAAGUCACAUGUAAAGGGUUAGUAGAGAUGAGUGGGACAGUCACAUGUAAAGGGUUAGUAGGGAUGAGUGGGACAGUCACAUGUAAAGGGUUAUCAGUAGAGAUGAGUGGGACAGUCACAUGUAAAGGGUUAGUAGAGAUGAGUGGGACAGUCACAUGUAAAGGGUUAGUAGAGAUGAGUGGGACAGUCACAUUUAAAGGGUUAGUAGAGAUGAGUGGGACAGUCACAUGUAACGGGUUAGUAGAGAUGAGUGGGACAGUCACAUGUAAAUGGUCAGUAGAGAUGAGUGGGACAGUCACAUGUAAAGGGUUAGUAGAGAUGAGUGGGACAGUCACAUGUAAAGGGUUAGUAGAGAUGAGUGGGACAGUCACAUGUAAAGGGUUAGUAGAGAUGAGUGGGACAGUCACAUGUAAAGGGUUAGUAGAGAUGAGUGGGACAGUCACAUGUAAAGGGUUAGUAGAGAUGAGUGGGACAGUCACAUGUAAAGGGUUAGUAGAGAUGAGUGGGACAGUCACAUGUAAAGGGUUAGUAGAGAUGAGUGGGACAGUCACAUGUAACGGGUUAGUAGAGAUGAGUGGGACAGUCACAUGUAAAGGGUAAGUAGAGAUGAGUGAGACAGUCACAUGUAAAGGGUUAGUAGAGAUGAGUGGGACAGUCACAUGUAAAGGGUUAGUAGAGAUGAGUGGGACAGUCACAUGUAAAGGGUUAGUAGAGAUGAGUGGGACAGUCACAUGUAAAGGGUUAGUAGAGAUGAGUGGGACAGUCACAUGUAAAGGGUUAGUAGAGAUGAUUGGGACAGUCACGUGUAAAGGGUUAGUCAUUUUUCUAAUCUGUAUAAUGUUUUUUAUUACCUGAAAAUUCCUUCCUGAUUAUGUGAUGACAUCACAGCUUCUCUUCUUCAGAUAGAGCAGAAAUGUUACAGAGAUGGGAAUGAUAAUAUCUCUGAAAAGUAAGCAGAUCACAGAGCGUUGAACCAAAAGACUUCUGGAUUAAAUCCCAGAGCCAACGAGGUGAAACUAAUUUGCUGUUGUCACAUCCACCUCCAUGGCAAAUCCUCUUCCUGUUCCGGCGCAAACGAUGGGCGUCGCCGGCCUUCUAGCUAGUACUGCCUUAGCAUUCAUUACCCAAUCAUGGACUGUCUUUGUGCAAUCAGUGAUCACACUUGGUUAUUGUUUCCCCCAUUAGCUGUAUGUAUAUAGUUCCCUCUGUUCCUUGUGGGCUAUUGUGUAUGUUGCGUUGGUUACCUUUCUAGGAUAUAGUAACAUUACUGUAGUAAAGGUUUGUUGUGCGCCCUAUGUAAGGGCAACAUUUAUUUUAAGUCCUAACUUACUUUUGGUGUGAAUUUCCUUUGGAUUCAAAUAAAAGCCCUUAUUACCUGCAACUGCCUCUGCUUCCCUUCCUGAAACAUGACAGCUGUUCUGAAUUUGAUCAAGGUAAUAAAACUCUUUUGCUACCCAGGCACUCAGUGUGACAGACCUCUCCAAUUUAGAAGAGGAAGUCAAAUAUUUGGUUGGAUCUUCUUUGUCAUCAUUAUUUUUCUUUUCAGUCAGUGUUGUGUAAAAGUAGGGUUCUCACCUUUAGCUCUGUUCCUGUUCCUGCUGUGUUUCACCAUCAGUACAGUGGUCACUAUCAGGUAUGGAGACACCACCAGUAGACUACACAACAGCCUGGACAGAGAGACUCUGGAGUCACUACAUGACUCUGGAGGGGGAAGUGGAGAUGAAGAUGAAGGUGGAGAUGUGGAUGAAGGUGGAGAUGAGGUUGGAGAUGGAGAUGGAGAUGAGGGUGGAGGUGAAGAUGGAGAUGAGGUUCCUGGGGAAAGAAUUUUAGGACCACAACACACUCAGUGCAGAUAGACUUUCUCACACCAGAGAACACAGACAUCACACUAACAACCUAGGGUUCAACCUGAAAUUAGCUUGCUAAUCCCAAAUCCUACCUUGUAGUAUAGGCCUCUGGUCUAC
ensembl:lncRNA